AGUCGAACGAUGAACCACCUUCGGGUGGGGAUUAGUGGCGAACGGGUGAGUAACACGUGGGCAAUCUGCCCUUCACUCUGGGACAAGCCCUGGAAACGGGGUCUAAUACCGGAUACUGACCUGCCAAGGCAUCUUGGCGGGUCGAAAGCUCCGGCGGUGAAGGAUGAGCCCGCGGCCUAUCAGCUUGUUGGUGAGGUAAUGGCUCACCAAGGCGACGACGGGUAGCCGGCCUGAGAGGGCGACCGGCCACACUGGGACUGAGACACGGCCCAGACUCCUACGGGAGGCAGCAGUGGGGAAUAUUGCACAAUGGGCGAAAGCCUGAUGCAGCGACGCCGCGUGAGGGAUGACGGCCUUCGGGUUGUAAACCUCUUUCAGCAGGGAAGAAGCGAAAGUGACGGUACCUGCAGAAGAAGCGCCGGCUAACUACGUGCCAGCAGCCGCGGUAAUACGUAGGGCGCAAGCGUUGUCCGGAAUUAUUGGGCGUAAAGAGCUCGUAGGCGGCUUGUCACGUCGGUUGUGAAAGCCCGGGGCUUAACCCCGGGUCUGCAGUCGAUACGGGCAGGCUAGAGUUCGGUAGGGGAGAUCGGAAUUCCUGGUGUAGCGGUGAAAUGCGCAGAUAUCAGGAGGAACACCGGUGGCGAAGGCGGAUCUCUGGGCCGAUACUGACGCUGAGGAGCGAAAGCGUGGGGAGCGAACAGGAUUAGAUACCCUGGUAGUCCACGCCGUAAACGGUGGGCACUAGGUGUGGGCAACAUUCCACGUUGUCCGUGCCGCAGCUAACGCAUUAAGUGCCCCGCCUGGGGAGUACGGCCGCAAGGCUAAAACUCAAAGGAAUUGACGGG
rnacentral:rRNA from 1 species